AACUGAAAGGAAACCACUGAUUGUCUGAAUUGGGGGAGAUCAGAGAGAGCAAUUAAGAUUACAAAAAAGCAAAAGGAAACUUUGGGGGCCCAGGAUUUGUUCACUAUCUUGAUUGUUCAGUGACUUGCCUGGGGCAAACGUAAUUCAAAAUUUGUUCUAUUAUACACUUUUUACAUCAGUUAACAAGUAAGCAACAUGAAGUAAUUAUUUUUUACAAUGCCUGAUAUUUGCCCAGGGAAUCCAACCAAUCUCUUUGUCAUAUGGAUACUUUUUGCCAAGCUUUUCCAUAUUCCUGGAACACUCUUUGCCAGGAACUUUUUCCAUCUGACCCACUCCUUCAUAUUCAAGAAGGCUGCGGGUCUCUGUUUCUUUCAUUGACUCUUUUCCACUGCGAUUGAUUUACCUUUCAUUCAUCCAGCGAUUAUUAUUAUCAUACAUACAAUGGAAGUAUGUAAUCUUUUCCAUUGCUCACUCUGUCGUCACUUCAGUGGUUCAUUUUUCUGUACACUAGCGUGAGUAAUGAGGUUGAAGUCCUUGGGGAGUAGGGUGUUAUGGAGCAGUGCAGCUUCAGGAAAAUCAGGGCAGGAGGGAGAACUGUAGAUGUGCCAGCAAAGCGGGAGCAUCACACAGCUUUACUGUAAGGAGUUACGAUACACGGGUGCCUCACUUCACCUCAUCAGGUCUGAAUAGCCCCAUACGUCAUAAAAGGGAUGGGUGUGGUCAAGUGGCUUAGCAAUUCAGACACAAGUUGGGACAACCACAUCCCACAUCAGAGUACCCAGAUGUGAAUCCUGGCUCUGCUCCCAUUUCCAGCCUCCCGCUAGUGCGCACCCUGGCGGCAGCAGGUGGUGGUUAAAGCAGUCGGUUGCCUGUCUUCCACAGGAUGGGCUGCACUAAAAUGAGUUUCUGGUUCCCAGCUUGUGCCUUGUCCAGCCCCAGCUGUGCAGCACAUCCUGGAGGGAUCAUGCGUGAUUGACUAAGUCUUCGCAUGGAAGGUAGACACACUCACAGAGACCAGUGAGGUAGAAUGCUGUGGAAAGCUAAUGGUCUGAAACACUGAGCUAGCCACAGUGGAAAGAGAAGUGGAACUGGAAGUGGAAGAAGGGCAGAAGCAAAGCCAAGCUGACGAUCAAGAAUGCAGAGCCUUGUGCUGAGCAGACAUUGGCUCUUAAGGGCCAAGGCAACAAGAGGGAGGGAGCCGCCUCUUCUCAGAACAGCUGUUCAGUGCUCAGAGAGGCCCAGCUGCCUGUUCUCAGCUCUGUGGCUGAUGAGUUUAUUUUACUCUUUCUCUACUUUGUAUGGUCUUAGAACAGAAACCACAGACUGAGGCAACCUGAAGAUGUUUCUGUUCCUUGCAACCCAAAGGAAGCUAACUGGCAUAGACAA